GAUGAAGAACGCAGCGAAAUGCGAUACGUAAUGUGAAUUGCAAAUUCAGUGAAUCAUCGAGUCUUUGAACGCACAUUGCGCCCGCUGGUAUUCCGGCGGGCAUGCCUGUUCGAGCGUCAUUUCAACCCUCAAGCUCUCCGGAGUUUGGUGUUGGGGCGCCUGGGGCUUUUCGACCUCAGGGCCCUCAAGUCCAUCGGCGGGACCGCCAGGACACUGAGCGCAGUAGUAUUAUUUCGCUCGGUAGGAUCUUCCACGGCGGGUCGAUCUGGCCGCUAAACCCCCCAAUUCUCACCAAAGGUUGACCUCGGAUCAGGUAGGAAUACCCGCUGAACUUAAGCAUAUCAAUAAGCGGAGGA
rnacentral:misc_RNA from 1 species